AUCUCUGUUUCCAUCUCUUUUUCUUUCCUCUUUCUCUCUCUCCUUAACUCUUCAAUUUCUUGCCGUAAUCGCUCUUCAAUUUCUUGCCGUAAUCGCUUGUUCUCCUCCUCUGCUAAUCUUGACGUCUCUUUACUCAAAUUCUCUAUCUGAGAUUUGAGCAACAUGACAACAGAAACAGAUUCCCUGAGUAGGUUGACCUACGCCUGUGGGAAGUAAACGUCGUAAGAUGGCCGGUGUUGGAAACGAGUUGACUCGGCAGAAACUGAUUCAAUCACUGCUCAAUCUAUGUAACUCGAUUCGAGAUGGUGUCGAGCAUAUUCUUUGGUGGAACAUGUUCUAUUUUUUUUAUUUCAUUUAGCUAUUGUACACUUGAUCCUUCUUCUUUCCUUAUUUUCUAGUCAUGUAUGCCUUCUAAAAUGUUUGUGUUAUGAAGGUGGGAUAUGUCUUUGUGCGAUAAUGUUACUUAUAUUUUGUGCAAAUCUAUCUUUCACCAUAUAAAUUGAUAGAUUGUAAUCUCUAACAUUUAAACAUGAAGCUUAUUGAGGAUA